rnacentral:rRNA from 2 species
UGGGGAAUAUUGCACAAUGGGGGAAACCCUGAUGCAGCGACGCCGCGUGAACGAAGAAGGUAUUCGUAUCGUAAAGUUCUGUCCUAUGGGAAGAUAAUGACAGUACCAUAGAAGAAAGCUCCGGCUAAAUACGUGCCAGCAGCCGCGGUAAUACGUAUGGAGCGAGCGUUGUCCGGAAUUAUUGGGCGUAAAGGGUACGCAGGCGGUUUAAUAAGUCGAAUGUUAAAGCUCGGGGCUCAACCCCGUAAAGCAUUGGAAACUGAUAAACUUGAGUAGUGGAGAGGAAAGUGGAAUUCCUAGUGUAGUGGUGAAAUACGUAGAUAUUAGGAGGAAUACCAGUAGCGAAGGCGACUUUCUGGACACAAACUGACGCUGAGGUACGAAAGCGUGGGGAGCAAACAGG